rnacentral:rRNA from 1 species
UGGGGAAUUUUGGACAAUGGGGGCAACCCUGAUCCAGCAAUGCCGCGUGUGUGAAGAAGUCCUUCGGGUUGUAAAGCACUUUUGUCCGGGAAGAAAUCGCACCUGAUAAUACCGGGUGUGGAUGACGGUACCGGAAGAAUAAGGACCGGCUAACUACGUGCCAGCAGCCGCGGUAAUACGUAGGGUCCAAGUGUUAAUCGGAAUUACUGGGCGUAAAGCGUGCGCAGGCGGUUGUGCAAGACCGAUGUGAAAUCCACGGGCUUAACCUGGGAAUUGCAUUGGUGACUGCACGGCUAGAGUGUGUCAGAGGGGGGUAGAAGUCCACGUGUAGCAGUGGAAAGCGUAGAAAUGUGGAGGAAUACCGAUGGCGAAGGCAGCCCCCUGGGAUAACACUGACGCUCAUGCACGAAAGCGUGGGGAGCAAAAAAG